AACGAACGCUGGCGGCAGGCUUAACACAUGCAAGUCGAGCGCCCCGCAAGGGGAGCGGCAGACGGGUGAGUAACGCGUGGGAAUCUACCCAAUACUACGGAAUAGCUCCGGGAAACUGGAAUUAAUACCGUAUGUGCCCUACGGGGGAAAGAUUUAUCGGUAUUGGAUGAGCCCGCGUUGGAUUAGCUAGUUGGUGGGGUAAUGGCCUACCAAGGCGACGAUCCAUAGCUGGUCUGAGAGGAUGAUCAGCCACACUGGGACUGAGACACGGCCCAGACUCCUACGGGAGGCAGCAGUGGGGAAUAUUGGACAAUGGGCGAAAGCCUGAUCCAGCCAUGCCGCGUGAGUGAUGAAGGCCUUAGGGUUGUAAAGCUCUUUUAGUGGGGAAGAUAAUGACGGUACCCACAGAAAAAGCCCCGGCUAACUUCGUGCCAGCCGCCGCUGUAACAC
rnacentral:rRNA from 1 species